CCUACGGGAGGCAGCAGUGGGGAAUAUUGCACAAUGGGGGGAACCCUGAUGCAGCAACGCCGCGUGGGUGAAGAAGUACUUCGGUAUGUAAAGCUCUGUCAGCAGGGAAGAAAAUGACGGUACCUGACCAAGAAGCCCCGGCUAACUACGUGCCAGCAGCCGCGGUAAUACGUAGGGGGCAAGCGUUAUCCGGAUUUACUGGGUGUAAAGGGAGCGUAGACGGCAAGGCAAGUCUGGAGUGAAAGCCCGUGGCUCAACCACGGGACUGCUUUGGAAACUGUGUUGCUGGAGUGCAGGAGGGGUAAGCGGAAUUCCUGGUGUAGCGGUGAAAUGCGUAGAUAUUAGGAGGAACACCGGUGGCGAGGGCGGCUUACUGGACUGUAACUGACGUUGAGGCUCGAAGGCGUGGGGAGCAAACAGGAUUAGAUACCCCUGUGUC
rnacentral:rRNA from 1 species